UACGUAGGGGGCAAGCGUUGUCCGGAUUUACUGGGCGUAAAGAGCGUGUAGGCGGCCACGCAGGUCCGUUGUGAAAACUGGAGGCUCAACUUCCAGCCGUCGACGGAAACCGUGUGGCUAGAGUCCGGAAGAGGAGAGUGGAAUUCCUGGUGUAGCGGUGAAAUGCGCAGAUAUCAGGAAGAACACCAAUGGCGAAGGCAGCUCUCUGGGACGGUACUGACGCUGAGACGCGAAGGCUAGGGGAGCGAACGGG
rnacentral:rRNA from 1 species